GUGAUUUCCAAGCAGUGAGCAUGGGAAUGGAGCUGACAGCAAGACGAGAGGCAGAUGGACAAACCAACAAGGACGAAGUAAGGACUACGUCAUGGAACUGCUGCCAGCUUUUGGAAUGAACUUUGUGCCAAACUCUGCGUUGUUGCUGAUUUUCACAUGAUGGAUGUGGAAACACCUGGUUUUAUCAGAGCUGGCUUUGCUGAAGAUGCCUUGCAGGACUGUAGAAAGGGAAGCCCAGCUCUCCUCCAGCUCAACUCUGUCGCAUCUGAUACAGCUGAAACUAUACUAAAGGAAGGACAUGUCCAACUCCCUCUCCUGGGAGCAGGCUGAUGAGUGACAGUGUCAUGAAAUGGUUGCUGGCUGACCUCUUGGCUUGUGAGCACUGUGGCUCUGGACAGAUGGAUAUCACAUCUUGACUGCUCCUGAGAUGUCCCAAAGUCUUCAGCUUUUGCUUUCUCCCUCAGUUCAAAAGCCCCCUGAGCCCAGGGCUGCGUGCUACACUGAAACGUUCAAUCCUGCAUUUGAAUAAGCUGAAUCAAGCCAGCCAUACUGCUAAACAUAUGCAUGGAGACUUCCUACAUAAAUGAACGUUGCCCUGAAGCACUUGUAGUCCAGUUGUUACUGCUUUGUGCUGAUAGUGAAAGACCCCAAAGAGAAUGGAGUAUAAGCCCUGUCCGUCGUGCGGGAGCCCAGCAGAUGGAGCAGUGUUCCUGUGCAUGAGGAGCUGUGGGGCCGCAUCCGGAGCUGCGCUGUGCAGUCGAGCCGAUCUGCCCCAGUGCAUCUAUGAAGCACGGAAUAAAAGGCUCACUUGAUGGAACUGAGCUCUGCUGCUGUGCAAGCACAGCCCGGCCAGGUUGUGUGCUCUGCCUGCCCUUAACCACCUGCCGUGAAUCUCAGCUGAUGCACUCAGUGACUGCUAUCGCUGGCUGUGAAAGAACUCCUGUUCUGGGCUCAGUAUAUAGAAGCAAACCCCAACAGCACACAGAGGCAACAUUCCUGUAUGACACCCCCAUCAUCAAGCCCAGAUGCUCUGGUGGAGUGCAGAUGUCCCACAGAGGUCCAAUCUAAUGCACUGAAGUGACAGAGAAUCUGCUGCAUCCUCAGCAAUGAUAAAUAGCAGAUACAUGAGCUGCCUGGCAGAGGAGCAGACAACUCUCCUGGGACUGACUGCAUUGUCAGUGUUCCUUGAUGGGUCACUGGGGUUUGGGUUCUGGUUAACAUCCCGCCCUCUUCAAGCAUCUCCUCUGGCUGCAGAGCCACUCCCUCGACCUUCUCAGUUACCGCUGUCAUCUCUGGGGUCUUUAAUUGUGCCUGAUGGGGUAUCAGCUUCAAUGCUAAUGUGCAUGGGUAAGAGGAUGAGGAAAGCUACUUUGCGAGGAUUCUCCUUUUGCUGCUCUGCAACGAAACAGAGCAGAAAGAAGCAAUCUGAGUCCGGCCAAGGUUUUCCUUAAAUACCAACCUUGCUAUGUGGGAGGCUCUGAAUCAAUUGUAUUGUUUUGCUUUGGGGAAAGACUUGAACCUCAUACUUCACAUGGACACAAGUAACCGCAUGCUUUUUAGCAAAUCACUGAAAUGAAGAGAAUCUUGUGGAAACACUGAAAGGUUAAGUAAAAACCCUGAGCACAUGUGCUCUAGUGCUUUGCUAAAAUACACGCUACAAGGGCAAGUUUCCAACUGUAAAAAACAAACAAAAAAAGACAAAAAAAAAAAGUAGAAAAGGUAUCCUGAGCAAUUUCCUUUUUAAAGGAUAACAGACAAAAAUCAACCACAAGCAGAAUGAUGGCUGUACAGAAAAUACAUUUGCUGUUCAGAGAAAUACACAGAUUGUACUCUGAAGAGCUGAAAUCUUGAUGGACUUCCAGUUUGGCUCCAUCUAAGAUAAAAUUCUUGGAAAGAGAGUACAUUACAAAGGAGAUACUUGAAGGAAGGGUUAGAAGUCCUGCCAAAGACUUGGAGAACUGCUAUUUGCAGUCUGAUAUGAAUCCAGGCAAGAACCCACGAAUGCGUUUGGCUGCAAUUUCACUUCGUUUUUAAGUAGAAAAAGUUGCCCGUUAUCCUUCCAGGUAGCAGAUAAUGUCACAGUUAUACACCUGGAAAGAUGAGGUAAGAGGGAUGGGGGGGGGGGGAGGGGGGGGAGUUCUAAAAGCAUUUCCUAGUGAGAACUGUCUACAGGAGAAAGAUGUUUUGCACAGUGUCCUGGGUAAGAAAUGGCAAUGUCAUCACCUGUGGUAAUGCUGAAGGAAACGUUAUACUGUGUGCACAGCUUGCCAUGCAACAUUACUCAUUUGGAAAAAGGCUAUUUUUAAUCAAGAAAAAGCACUUUAAUCAAGGAUAGAGUCAGUGAUUCAAAAAUUUCAUGCAGGUGCAUGUAUUACUUGACUGAAAGCAUUUUCCCCAAAGGUCAGAGCUGCAGGGAGAUGUGCAUGUCCCAUUCCAGCAGUGGAGAUAACCUCAGGGUGCCAAUAUCAGCCUGAUGUAUUCUGGCUCUUGGCUCAGGGAGCCUCAAAGUCAGAACUUCCCAUGCUAAUCCUCUUAACUUUAAACAAAUAUUUGCCAUAGCCUAGGCACACUCAGUAAGAUUCAUGGCAUGCCAAAAAAGACACAUUUGUGUUAGGGAGGUUGAUUCAGUUUUUCUUUGUAUUUUUCCACCCGCGCAAAAGAAAUCAGCUGCAGGUCGUACAGCAUACGCAGAGCUGGUUCAGCAAACAGCAGGGACACAAGCAUGCCCCCAACUCCUGGGGAGCCCUUCCCUCCUUCUCACAUCUCUGGGAGCUGCAGGAAGAGCUCACAAUGGCCAGAACAGAGAACAGAUUUCUGCUUGGCAGGUGAAUGAGCGUAACCCAGCAGCUCCAAUUGAGCAAACCUCCCCGCCUCUCCUCCCCACUCCCCAGCCCCACAACUCUCUGAAAUUAAAAAACAACACUCAAUCAGCGUUUCCUGGAGUAGCUUGUACUCUGAGUCACUCUCUCCACUGACUUUAAGAUUUUAAGAUUUCAAAUGUCAGAACUGACACAUGCUGCAGGCUGGAGGCAAACCCCUGCGGUUCCAAAGCCUGCUUGUGUAGCACUCAGGAGCACUCAGGGACCCCUUGCCUGCCAGCAGACCUCCCUAGAACAGGGCUGUCUGCCUUCUCCUGGAUGCAGCUCCAUCCCCAGGACACCCUUUUCCUCCCAGGCACCCCUCUGAUGCUGCUUUAGCUUUCAGCCUGGCACACACAAGGCUACCUUGCCUCCAAGAUUGCCUCCCCGGGAUUUAAGUGGCCAAUACCAUCCAGUAAGUAGGCACUAAAAUAGGUUGAGGAAUAAAUUGCUCUCAUUUAACAUUCACUCUGAAAAAUAUGGCUGCAUUUAUUAUGCAGUAUAUUGUUUUAUAUACUGUUUUGUUAUAAUAAGUCAUGUUUAAAAUGUCAUGACAUUUAAAUCAACAGCAAUAAGAGGGAAAUACUGAAAAAGAACAAGAUCAAAAAGGAUUUGAAAAAAUCCGAGCAAAAUCUUAUGGACCAAACUCCAUGGUUAAAAUAAAGUGUUUGUUCCCAGGUGUGGUGGGCAGAGAGGUGCCACCACCAUUGGGGUGGUUGUGGUUGGCUACGGCCAAGGGGCUCGGGCACUUGAGGCAAUGCCACCACAGUGCUCUGUGUCCCCCUCGUGGUUUUGGUUUGUCUGGGCUGUCCUUUGCCAUCGAGCCACCACAAUACCCUGAGUAAGUCCUUAGAACUGGAUAAUGCCAUUUGUCUCAGUGAGGAGAGUUAUUUCAAUGCCUGUGCUAAGUUAUAUGAAUGAACUUUAUAUAAUAUAGUAUAAAAGCUUACUUUAAUGUGGCUUCAUAGCCUUUGAGGAAACACAGAGCCUGUCAACCACCGGUGAUUUACAUGCAUAAUGGCAGAUUUUCACUACAAAGACUUUGAUGUUAAAAAAAAAAAUAACUUGGAUCAGAGGAGCUACUGUGUUACUGCAGAUUUUGUGCUCAUCUUUCUAUCAGGUCUGAACCCGUAUGGAGCAUCCCUUGCUGCUGCCUCGGUGCAUCCUCAUCCCCUGCCAAGGGGAACAACAACAACAACAACUGCAACAACAAAACAGAUGGUGAUGCAGUGAAACAUUAAACCCAGUCCCAAUACCUGAGCCAUACCAUGAAUAUUUCACUGAGGCAGAGGGUAGAAAAGACAACAAAAUGAUCUUUUCUAGCAUCUUAAGGGAUGUCUAACCUUGUAAUUGCUAUAGACACAGAGGACACACAAGAUGGAGACCAAGACUACUUAAAAGCUGUGUGUAUUUUCUAAAAAUUAGUAACUCAAUGUUCCCACUACAACCUGCCAAUAUGAAUGACAUUCACUCUUGCUCUGAGGAAUGAAAGAAACUCUGAGAGACAGACUGCAUUAAGAAUCUAUUGAUAUUCCACUGACCUAGUGCCACACGAACCAGACAAGUUUUGUCAAGGGCAAAUGCCCCAGAGUCUGAAAAUUCAUUUCUUAAAGUGGCAGCAAAGGAAAAAAGAAAUAUAUACGUAUCCUUUACUGUCUAGAAUACUUAUAAAAUCAAGUGUAGGCUUGCAUUGUCCUGAUACUACAACAGCAGUAUAUGACACUAGACCCAGAUACAUGAACAGAACUGAAGAUAUCAGAUGGUCAAUAACCUCUUCCAGUUUUCCAAGCAAGUUAGUACUGCCAUAAAGCUUAAAUGGGAUGUUCCCUUAAGAAGUAUCACAUGGGUUUUAACCUAGUUUAUUUCAUCUUACUACACGAGCUUCACAAACCUAAGUUAUCCAUAGUCAAAGACUUUCCUUUGCAAGGGAUGGAUGCAGAAGGCAUGAGCUGUGCAGGAGGUUCCCAUGGCACCUUGUACUGAUGGGGCACCCAGAACAAAUGAACUGAAAGGAGAGUGAGAAACGACUCAGUACUGUCCAGGCAGGCUUCUUCAUCCCCCAAGAUAAACCUCUGAACUCAUACACUAAAUCAAAUGAGAACAAAAUGUCACAGGCAAGGGACGCAACACAGAAGCAACACAAGAACCCCUAGUUGUUUGGUUUUUUUCUUAGUGAAGCUGAGCCUAGGAUAGCAGUGGCUUUUUCAAGGGGUGGAGGAGCACAGGCUGCCUUUAUUCGAGGAGGAGGAAUAUAUUUGCUCCUCUUUCAAGCUGCAAUGCUGGCCCUUCUGUUCAAAUUCUUUUUUCUGGGGGGGGGGAAGACCACAGCUAUACCCACGUGAGCCCCAUGCUGAAGAGUGGGGAUGGCAUUAUAGCCUGGGAAUAUAAAAUGCUGUAAUAGAUUUCAGUGAACGGGCUGAAUUUGGGGAAAAUUAAUUUUAGCUGGAUACAUUGUGCAGUUAAUUAAGGCUGAUAGCUUCCACUAGAAGAAAAGAGUUUUUGAUGAAAAUACAUUGAAAAAUCUUAUUAAACUGCCUAGUAAAAAAUCAGUUGCCACAGCCUGUGCUGCAUCUUCCCAGACACCUCCAUGUUUCUAUACAGAAAUCCUGUACUGAUACCAUUUGCAUAACAAUAUUUAAUAUGCAGAUUUGAGUAUCAUUGCUUUUGGACAGAAUUAAUGUUCCAACCUUUGAGCACACCCAUUUUAGAAAUACUCAUCUUGAAAACUCGCUGGAACUUAUAUGCAGCACUGGUGUGAGCGCUGCUCCUGGGAGCCUCAUGGGUGAGGUGGUCACGUAAACAUGGAAGGGUAGAAGGCAGAGAGGACGUGAAGAUGGGAAAAGCAACCAAAAUACUCCCACUUUUCAGAGAUGAAGUAACUUUUUGUUUUCAGUUCAUUUUGUUCACGCCUUAGGAAAUGAUGAGAUCAACUGAAAGGAAAGCAAUUUCCAGCCGAAAUGAACAUAGCUCGUGGCUCAACUGAGAAGAGGUGCAUAUUUUUCCAAAAGCUCCAUUCCAAUACGUGCAGAUCAAAUACCCUGAGAACAGACCUAGCAUGAGCUUGCAUCAUGUCAGUUUGCCAGUCUGGGAAUUUGCAGGUUUUCUACUUGUUCCUGAGGAAGCCAAUUGGGAAAACAGGUUGUACUGCCACAUCACAUGGUGGAAUUGCAAAAUCAUUUUAUUCAUUUAGAUAUAAUUCAAAGUCAGGCCAGGGUAUCUUGGUAGCAGAACUACUACAGAAGGCCUACCACUCCAUUCUUCUCUCCCAUAAGCCUUUCCCUUUUUUAGCGAGCCUUACAUCUAAACUCCCAGGAGGCAUAUUCUGUGUUCCCAGGGCUUAUCCUGUGCGUGUACUGAUGUGUACAAAGGUGCCCAAGCUUUCCUCAUUCACACCCGUAAGCAUUAUUAUAUUACAUUUAAUUGCAGAAGACAUUGUCUUAACAGCUUUAUUUCUUAUAUGACAUCUCGUGAAUUGCCUUUAAGAAAAGCCAUUUACAAGACUUCUAUAUAUAUGUAAACUAGUAUUCUAAUGUCACAUUCUUGUUUGCACGUAACCUUGUAGUCACGUCAGCUAAUCAAAAUGCAAAAAGCAAGUGGCCCUUCACAGACUUCAGUUAGGAAACAGUGGCACGGGUUUUCAUAAAACAAAAGUGUUUGACUGAUACUGUGUAAAAUCUGUUCUGCAGGAAAACCGGCAUCUUGCCCAUCAUCUUCUACAAAGUUCAGUAUUUUUGUCAGUGCCCAUCUCCUUGACUUCUUAAUUGUCUGUGUUCACUGACUGUAUCAAAUGGAGUUUUCCUUUGCCUUUGCUCACUAUGUAUUACAUCUUUUAAUCGGUAUAUAUAAUUACUUACCACAAUCUGCCAUGCCAGAUUUUCUAAGCAUUAGUCUAAUUAACUUAAGCUUGAUAAUUAUGUUUCAGAUAUCAUAACAGUACACACAGAACUUGCAGAUUAUGCUGUUAGCUUAGCUGUUUCUGAUAAUGAUUUUCUCCUAUUCUUAUUUUCACUUUUCUUUUUGUACAGGGUGGGAGCACAGGGGGGAAUAGAAGCUGCUACUCUGUCUAAGCAACUGGAGGCUUCCAUAAAAGCAAAAUCAGGCUGUUCAUAAUAACAAAUCAUCAAAUAAGGCAACACAAAUGAGAACAGAUCCAAAAGGAGAGGAUUUCAUCUACUUAUAAAAGCAGAACGUCAGUGAAAGAAGAAACCUGAGCUUCCAACAGCACAAAUCAUAGAGGAUUCAGACACAGUCUUGCAGCACUUAUGGCCUAUUACAGAAGUACUCAGACUUUCCACAGGUCUCCAGCCCAAGCUAUUCUAAUUAUACGCCUGUUGGCGACAGCAUGCCACCAGGGAGGCAAUAAAUAAGUGAUAACAUGCAUGGGACCUGGCACACAUACCUAGCCAGCACAGAAAGAUCAUCCCUCACAAAGUGAUGUGGGCCAUCUGGGCAUAUGAAAUAUGCAAGCCUGAGACCCCGAGUAAAAGUAAAUAGAUGCAGAGAACACUUAUGUCACAGUAAUAAAGGAAAACAAAAGAAAUCAGUAAGAGGUUAUGGAUUUUUAUUUGGCUUUUUGGUGCUAUACUUUUCUUCUCACUUCUGUCCAAUUUGCUUUUUUUUCUUUUUUCUUUUUUUCUACCUUUUGAGCCCAUCUGUUUGAACUGCUUGAGUGCAGCGGUUGAAAGAAGCUGCCAUGCCUAUUCACAGAACUACACUGAGAACGUUGCAUUUAUUCUGAAGUUACUGGCAAGGAUUUCAUCAGCUACAAAACACUGAACCACUCCUAUUUUUAAUGCAGACUUAAUAGACAUGGAGAGGACAGAAACAUGCAGUUCCUCUGCCAAAGGUUCCUCAUUCCAGCCCUUAUUUUCAGGUGCCUGAAGGGCUGUUACCCUUGACAGAAAAAUUACCAGCAGUCAAGGAAGUAAUCAGAGUAGCCAGUCCAUAAAUAAGCAUAGCAUAAAUCUGAAUAUUAGUAAUUAGCAUUUGAUUCAAUCAGACCAGAAGUGUUAGACCACUGUAGCAGCAAUUCCUUAUAGGAAACUAUUUAACGUUCCAAUUAUCUUUAAUGAAUUAACCUCAAAGUAUGGCUGAGGUGCAACAUCCUAAGAAUCCCUUUACUCAUCUGCAGUCCACUUGCAACUAAUUUCCCUUCACAACCCUACCUCAAUUAACAUUUUUCUGUAUUUCAUACAUGAGUAACUGCAGUACUGAAAUACGCAAUCCUUUCCCAAAUUUAAUAGCUGAGAUACCUUAAUUUUGAUUCUGCAAAUGAAGGAAAAUCAUUUUCUGCUACUAUCUCAAACCAAUUAAUUUUUUUUUUUUUUUAAACUGACUUUGCACCUGCUAUGUAUGUCUGAACCAAAAAGGUCCUACAUUUUUCACAUCAUAAUUACUUGGGAAUGAUCUGUUAGGCAACACUCCGAACACAAGAAAAGGUCUUAAAAAUCAGCAGAUUUUUAAAGUUUACUUUAUUUUCCAUCAUUAAAAUUUUUAAAGAAUGUUUUAUAGUAAGAAAGAAAAACUCAACUGGCAUCAUUUUAAACUGUCUGAAUUUUAAACUCUUGAGAAACGUAAUAAUCCAGGAAGGAAAGAAGAAACAAGAAUACGGUCUUACCAGCCAAUGUACAACAGCAGUGACAUAAUUAAAUAAAAUCACUUUAAAAGAGAGAUCACUUGCAUAACAUAAGGUGCAUUAUGUAGCAUGGGUAGAAUGACGGACAGCUAACUGCAUGAGCUCAGAGUUCUCAAGUGCCCUAAAACUGGCAAAUGUGUGCUCAGUCUUAACCUGUCUAUGCAGCAGGGCAACAGCUGGACCUCAUGAUCCUUCCCCAUCCUUGCUGUGUGGUGAGGAAGCUCUUGCUUUGUGCCAUGGCUGUGGCAAAAGGAGCAGCAUUCUCUAACAGAUUACAAAUCUGACAUUAUUUUCCUUUUCACUGUAUGUUUGCAGCAUUAUUUUAGCAUUAAGAAAAAUGAACACAUAUGCAGAUAACAGCAUCCACAGAGCAAUAUGGCAUAGCUGUUGUGCUUCUUACAAGCAUCCAAUUUAACUUCAUCAUCAAAUACCACACAGUGUUUCGGUCUUUACUGAUUUUAACCUCUGUUUACAGCUAGGUGUUGCGUGCUGUGCACAUCGUCUAGUGCUCACUAUGGAGGAGAGCAUUAACAGUAGAAAGACACACAGUGACACAGUACAUGAGUUCUUUUUUCAGGACUGUUGGAUUUUGUUCCCUAUCUGACACAGCCACAUGAUGCCACAGAGCUUCACUGCCACUUCUCUGAGCCACUAACGUCAUGGUGAAGUGACACAGACAGGGACACAGACAUAACAGUGCUUGUCCACACAGCUACAUAAACACACUUUCUUUUGUAUAUUAAUUUCUAUAACAAAUAGAGAUAUGCUUGGCCUGUUUGCUUACAUGAACAAAUCUGUGCCCUAAAAGAUGAUAUUCUCAUUAAAUGGAGUUGCAUGCCCAAAUCUUAUAAGUGCUGUUUACUUUGCUGGCAGCACAGCCAGCAUGCUACAGAGCAUAAAUCUUUCGCUAUUGCCACUCACACUGAGAGCACCCCAUAGUGAAUUCGGAACGCUUAAAAAAAUUAAAUAAUCCAAUCAGAGCAGAAUAUAUAUUAGUAAUCGAUAACUGCUUAAUUUAGCUAACAUUGCGAACACUUUCUCUCCAACCCUUUAACUGCUUGCAGAGAAUACCAGAUAUCAUAACAUUUUACCCUCAAUUUAGAGCUUAGUUUUUUA